AUUGAACGCUGGCGGCAGGCCUAACACAUGCAAGUCGAGCGGGGUUUUCGGACCUAGCGGCGGACGGGUGAGUAAUGCGUAGGAAGCUGCCCGAUAGAGGGGGAUACCAGUUGGAAACGACUGUUAAUACCGCAUAAUGUCUACGGACCAAAGUGUGGGACCUUCGGGCCACAUGCUAUCGGAUGCGCCUACGUGGGAUUAGCUAGUUGGUGGGGUAAUGGCUCACCAAGGGGACGAUCCCUAGCUGGUUUGAGAGGAUGAUCAGCCACACUGGAACUGAGACACGGUCCAGACUCCUACGGGAGGCAGCAGUGGGGAAUAUUGGACAAUGUGCGCAAGCCUGAUCCAGCCAUGCCGCGUGUGUGAAGAAGGCCUUCGGGUUGUAAAGCACUUUCAGUAGGGAGGAAGAGUUGAGUGUUAAUAGUACUCAGCUUUGACGUUACCUACAGAAGAAGCACCGGCUAACUCUGUGCCAGCCGCCGCUGUAACAC
rnacentral:rRNA from 1 species